AGUAUUUUGACUAUACAAAGGUAUUGAAAUAAGACUUUAAUUGAGUGCUAAGAGAAUGGAAUUUCAUAAAAUUUCUUUUUUAAUUUUAAAAAUUGAAAUUAAUUUUAUAUGUGAAGAAACAAUAAUAAAAAUUAAGGACAAGAAGACCCUAAGAAUUUUAAAGAUUUUAAUAAAAUUUUGUAUUUUAUUGAAAUCUUUUAAUUGGGGCGAUUAUUAAAUAUUAAAAACUUUAAUUUUUUUAAAAAAGAACCAAUAAUAUUGGUUAUUUGAAAAAAUACUCUAGGGAUAACAGCGUAAUAAUUUUUGAUAGUUCUUAUAGACAAAAUAGUUUGCGACCUCGAUGUUGGAUUAGGAUUCUUUUUUAAUGAAGAAGUUAAAAAAAGAAGUUUGUUCAACUUUUAAAAUCCU
rnacentral:rRNA from 1 species